AUUGAACGCUGGCGGCAUGCCUUACACAUGCAAGUCGAACGGCAGCGGACCUUCGGGUGCCGGCGAGUGGCGAACGGGUGAGUAAUGUAUCGGAACGUACCUUUCAGUGGGGGAUAACGUAGCGAAAGUUACGCUAAUACCGCAUAUUCUGUGAGCAGGAAAGCAGGGGAUCGCAAGACCUUGCGCUGAUUGAGCGGCCGAUAUCAGAUUAGCUAGUUGGUGAGGUAAAGGCUCACCAAGGCGACGAUCUGUAGCGGGUCUGAGAGGAUGAUCCGCCACACUGGAACUGAGACACGGUCCAGACUCCUACGGGAGGCAGCAGUGGGGAAUUUUGGACAAUGGGGGCAACCCUGAUCCAGCCAUGCCGCGUGAGUGAAGAAGGCCUUCGGGUUGUAAAGCUCUUUCGUCCGGGAAGAAAUCGCAUCAGCUAAUACCUGGUGUGGAUGACGGUACCGGAAUAAGAAGCACCGGCUAACUACGUGCCAGCAGCCGCCGUAAAAC
rnacentral:rRNA from 1 species